AAAACUACAAGCUCCGUGAUUCUGCAUAAGCCACAAUAUUUUGAUCAGGAUCAAAACACACACAAAAAAGCACUUAUUUUAAACCGUCAGAUGAGGAAAAAUAUAACCCACAAGCAGCUCUAUAUUCUCGUUGUUGGAAGAACCUAUUUCAAAUGUCCACGUAUUCUAUUAUUCAUUGUAAUACAGAAAGAUAGGAUACAAACCUUUGAAGUGGAAAAAGGCUAAUUCCUACUGAAAUAGGUUUGUUUGGCAUGCGAUUGUACGGACAAUUAAUUACAUUUAAUAACAAAUGAAUA
rnacentral:misc_RNA from 1 species